UUGUACUUCUUAGUGUCUAAUGACAUUUUCACUAUUUUACUUUGUUUUACCUCAUCAAACAGGCGCACAUCACAUUUGAAGAAACAAAAUACGAAUCUUUGAAGCACUAGGGGGAUAGCCAUUGCACAGGACUUCAUGUGUGCCUUCAUCAUAGAAAAUAGGCCGAAUAUCGCCAAGUUCUAAGGUUGAAUAAAUGAAUUAUACAGAAUAUUGUCAAAACCCCGCAUUUUUCUCACUAAAACAAACUUAUGUACUUGCAUACAACCCUCUUUGAACUUGGACGGCACCUAGUGCUCAACUUGGAUGAUGACUAGUGCUCAACUCGAACGGAGGAGCUUCCAUUACAGUGGAGAAGAUGUUGACAUGCACUGGAGCUUAGCGUGCUGGAGUGAUACACUCCACGCCUACUCAAUAUCAUAGUACCCUGCACACACACACACCCUCCAACAAUUAACCACGUGGACUAAAUUGGAGCUACAAUAUGAAUUGAACUGGAUGAAAUUUAGAAAUUGACCUGACAGAAGAAACUAGACACCACAGGUACAUCAAAUAAAACACUGGAGUAGUUAGUACCAACUACUAAACUAAUGUACUGGAUAUUGAAAUUAUAGAUUGUAUAUUGGCGAACUUUUACACUUGACGGCAGUAAUCAACAUGAACUUUUCUCUCGAAGUUACAGCAUGUAUUCCUAGACGAUAAUAUUUGAACAUCAGGGAAACAAAUGUUUGAACGUCCGAGACAGUAGUGUGUGAACUUUGUCGAUGAAAACAUAAAACAUGCUAAAAUAUUUCAGGAAACAUGCUACAAUUGGUCAUGUUUAGUGAUCAAGAAAAUAUUUAGAGAUCACUUCUCGAAAUCUUCGUUUUUGAACUCUUAAGCGAGCAACGAUUGAACAUACAUAGAGAUACAAGGAUGAGACGACAAAACCUGAACUUUAGGAAUGUCGAAGAAGAACAGCCAAUGACGGUGGUCAAAUAAUUUUGUAGACCACAGGAACUAAAAAAUGAUCCACUGGUUUUCUAACUAGAGAAUUGUAGGAAUUAGCAAAACUGAACUAACAUAUUAUAAAGAAAUGAAGAGAGUUAAAAAACGCUAACAAGUAGUACUAAAUAGGACUAUUACAACUUGCCUUAGGGACAGAGGCAUCCCUGAACUUGGUCGUCCACGACAAUAUACCUGAACUCGGAGUAGACUGGUAGUUGAACUUGGUACACAUCCACACUAGCAACAGCAGCACAAGUCGCGGUGGGUACCAGGGGUGUCGGUUUGGUGCUUGACAUGUAAGAUGAUCUGCAAACACACACAAAGGUGAACUGAAAAUUUUGGUUUUUUUGUAUAAUAAUACAAAAACAUCUAUAGAUUUCACCCUUCAAAAUGGGUUCAAACACCACUUCAUAAGCAAUGCAUCCGAGCUAGUGUCCAUUCAUCCAGGCCUCUCUGUUUCAUCACUUGACAUGAGCAAGCACGUACCUCGGCAUGGACAUCUUUGUACAGGUGAAUAGACAGACGUGGUGGCUGUGAACGGCCAGGUCGCUCCAGUGGCGGAGCCCCACCGGGAG
rnacentral:lncRNA from 1 species